rnacentral:rRNA from 1 species
UACGGAGGGUGCGAGCGUUGUCCGGAAUCACUGGGCGUAAAGGGCGCGUAGGUGGCGCGACAAGUCAGUGGUGAAAGCUCGACGCUCAACGUCGAGUCGGCCACUGAUACUGUUGGGCUUGAGCACUGUAGAGGCUAAUGGAAUUCCGGGUGUAGCGGUGGAAUGCGUAGAGAUCCGGAAGAACACCGGUGGCGAAGGCGGGUCUCUGGGCUGUUACUGACGGCUGAGGAGCGAGAGCGUGGGGAGCGAACAGG